GAAAUGCGAUAAGUAAUGUGAAUUGCAGAAUUCAGUGAAUCAUCGAAUCUUUGAACGCACAUUGCGCCCGCCAGUAUUCUGGCGGGCAUGCCUGUUCGAGCGUCAUUACAACCCUCAGGCCCCCGGGCCUGGCGUUGGGGAUCGGCGGAAGCCCCCUGCGGGCACAACGCCGUCCCCCAAAUACAGUGGCGGUCCCGCCGCAGCUUCCAUUGCGUAGUAGCUAACACCUCGCAACUGGAGAGCGGCGCGGCCACGCCGUAAAACACCCAACUUCUGAAUGUUGACCUCGAGUCAGGUAGGAAUACCCGCUGAACUUAAGC
rnacentral:misc_RNA from 1 species